rnacentral:rRNA from 1 species
CACCGCCGCGGGAAUACAGAGGGUGCGAGCGUUAAUCGGAUUUACUGGGCGUAAAGCGUGCGUAGGCGGCUUCUUAAGUCGGAUGUGAAAUCCCUGAGCUUAACUUAGGAAUUGCAUUCGAUACUGGGAAGCUAGAGUAUGGGAGAGGAUGGUAGAAUUCCAGGUGUAGCGGUGAAAUGCGUAGAGAUCUGGAGGAAUACCGAUGGCGAAGGCAGCCAUCUGGCCUAAUACUGACGCUGAGGUACGAAAGCAUGGGGAGCAAACAGGAUUAGAUACCCGCGUAGUCCCUGUCUCUUAUACA